rnacentral:rRNA from 1 species
UACAGAGGUCUCAAGCGUUGUUCGGAUUCAUUGGGCGUAAAGGGUGCGUAGGCGGCGCGGUAAGUCGGGUGUGAAAUCUCGGAGCUUAACUCCGAAACUGCAUUCGAUACUGCCGUGCUUGAGGACUGGAGAGGAGACUGGAAUUUACGGUGUAGCGGUGAAAUGUGUAGAGAUCGGGAGGAACACCGGUGGCGAAGGCGGGUCUCUGGGCAUCUCCUGACGCUGAGGCGCGAAAGCGUGGGGAGCGAACAGG